UACGUAGGGUGCGAGCGUUGUCCGGAAUUACUGGGCGUAAAGAGCUCGUAGGUGGUUUGUCGCGUUGUUCGUGAAAACCGGGGGGCUUAACCCUUCGGCGUGCGGGCGAUACGGGCAGACUUGAGUACUGCAGGGGAGACUGGAAUUCCUGGUGUAGCGGUGGAAUGCGCAGAUAUCAGGAGGAACACCGGUGGCGAAGGCGGGUCUCUGGGCAGUAACUGACGCUGAGGAGCGAAAGCGUGGGGAGCGAACAGG
rnacentral:rRNA from 1 species